GACGAACGCUGGCGGCGUGCCUAAUACAUGCAAGUAGAACGCUGAAGAGAGGAGCUUCCUCUUCUUGGAUGAGUUGCGAACGGGUGAGUAACGCGUAGGUAACCUGCCUUGUAGCGGGGGAUAACUAUUGGAAACGAUAGCUAAUACCGCAUAACAAUGGAUGACACAUGUCAUUUAUUUGAAAGGGGCAAUUGCUCCACUACAAGAUGGACCUGCGUUGUAUUAGCUAGUAGGUGAGGUAAUGGCUCACCUAGGCGACGAUACAUAGCCGACCUGAGAGGGUGAUCGGCCACACUGGGACUGAGACACGGCCCAGACUCCUACGGGAGGCAGCAGUAGGGAAUCUUCGGCAAUGGGGGCAACCCUGACCGAGCAACGCCGCGUGAGUGAAGAAGGUUGUCGGAUCGUAAAGCUCUGUUGUAAGUCAAGAACGGGUGUGAGAGUGGAAAGUUCACACUGUGACGGUAGCUUACCAGAAAGGGACGGCUAACUACGUG
rnacentral:rRNA from 1 species